rnacentral:rRNA from 1 species
AUUGAACGCUGGCGGCAGGCCUAACACAUGCAAGUCGAGCGGAUGAAGGGAGCUUGCGCCUGGAUUCAGCGGCGGACGGGGGAGUAAUGCCCAUGAAUCUGCCGGGUAUGGGGGUAUAACGUCUUGAAACGGGCGCUGAUACCGCAGACGUCCUGAGCGAGAAAGUGGGGGAUCGUCGGACCGCAUGCGAUGAUGGGGGCCUAGGUCGGAUUAGUUAGUUGGUGGGGUAAAGGCCUUCCAAGGGGAGGAUCGGUAGAUGGUCGGAGAGGCAGAUUGGUCACACUGGAACUGAGACACGCUCCUGACGCCUGCGGGACGCAGCAGUGGGGAAUAUUGGACAAUGGGCGAAAGCAUGGUCCAGCCAUGCCGAGUGUGUGAAGAAGGUCUUCGGAUUGUAAAGCCCUUUAAGUUGGGAGGAAGGGCAGUAAGUUAAUACCUUGCUGUUUUGACGUUACCAACAGAAUAAGCACCGGCUAACUUCGUG